UACGGGGGGAGCAAGCGUUGUUCGGAUUUACUGGGCGUAAAGGGCGCGUAGGCGGCCAGCACAAGUCAGUUGUGAAAUCUCCGAGCUUAACUCGGAAAGGUCAACUGAUACUGUGCGGCUAGAGUGCGGAAGGGGCAACUGGAAUUCUUGGUGUAGCGGUGAAAUGCGUAGAUAUCAAGAGGAACACCUGCGGCGAAGGCGGGUUGCUGGGCCGACACUGACGCUGAGGCGCGAAAGCUAGGGUAGCAAACGGG
rnacentral:rRNA from 1 species